AGCAUCUCAUUAUUAUGAGAUACUAUCUCAUUAUUAUGAGAUAGUAUCUCAUAAUUAUGACUUAGCUAUCUCAUAUUUAUGACUUAGUAUCUCAUAAUAAUGAGAUAAAUUCUGCUGGCCUCCACGGACUUCCGUUUUUGCACUUCCGUAUUUUUCAAACUGCAGCAGCAGCGCAGCACACAACUUCGUUCGCGCUGAGUGGUCAGAAUGGCUAUUUGUACGCGUUUGCUGCUAGACCUCCCAAGAAUAAUGGUUAACGAUGUACACCGAAUCUUUCUUGCCUCGUCCGAAAUGCCAAAAUCUAGUAUGGACAAAGCUUGUAUUGUAUGUGCCCGGCUACAUACACAGCUAUGAAGGUAAGCUAACAAACUUCUGCUGUGAGUUACUAAAGAUGCUACACGCUAGCUCUCCACUAGCCUAAGUUAACACAAUAAGGAAACGUUAUUGGAGCGAUAAGUAAGGUCAUGCGUGUUUUUCGUGUCUGAAAUUUAAAAAAAAAAACAGUUUUUAUGUUAUUCUCAGUUUUAAUCAUGCAGUCAGGAGAGGUCACGGUUAGGUCCGAGUGUUUCAGGUCAAUGAGGAAAAACCAGAAGCCCCACCGUCUGAGUGUAGGGAAACGUUUCCCUGCAGGUUCAGUGCAGGAUUGAUUCAGGUUCAAAAGAAGACUGUUCAUGUUUUUAAACGUCACAUUUUUGCGAGUCAUAUCAUUGCUUUUAGUUUGAUAACAGGUUAAUGACAUGCCUGAACUACGUGUGUCAUGUGGUAUCAGAGAUAAAAUGUGUCCCAGAAAGAAUAUAGUAAGUAAAGUUUGUAUAAAUAGCAUGUCACAGAAAGUCAAACAUUAGAUGACUCGCAGAAGCACAACAUUGUUUACAGUUAUUUUAUUUUUGUCCACUACUUGUUCUACUCUUCUAUUUUAAAAUGAGUUAAGUGAAGUUAAUCAUCAAUGUUUGUCUCUCCUUAAAUGCAGUUGUACUCUAACAAAUAUUCUGUGUUGUAACAGAUUGUGCUAAGGGAUUCAAAGCCGGUGGGGGUGCCAGUGUAUGUGUGGCAGGUGCAGCCUUGUGAUGUCAUGUGGCAGCUCAACUCUACCAGACGGCACAUUUCUCCUAGCUGAAACUUACAUCGGCCCCCCCCACACACACACACACACACACACAGUGUUCAGCUGCACAGAAACUGAACAACAGUGGCACAAAACGGGGACCAAGGUUACAAUCUUUUAAUGAUACUAUUAUUAUGUGUAUACAUAUUUCUGUUAUAACAUUUAAACUUGUUUUUAUUUGGAAACAAGGUAUUAAACCAGGUCCAGUUAAUGACAUGGUCAUCAUAUCAGCCAGACAAAGAGAGAAGAGACCGGUAGAAUGAACAAGAAGCAGUUUGUAAAAAGGAGUCAGCUUCCCCGAUGACAGCUUCAUUCUGAAGGUGCAGGAGGCGUACCACAGACUUGGUGCAGAUGAGGCUCCGGUGAUGACAACCAUGGCUGUCUCUGGUGAUGUACCUCUGGUUGGGUCCACGUUUGGUUCGGUGCAGGAGGGAAGCGGGCCAUCUUACCAACUACCAGUGAGGACGGCCCCCAGGACGCGUCCACACAAAGACAACCCUUCUCUCCCACAACUGUCUCUCUCAUUAUAGACUGGGACCCUCUGCAUGUGCAUUUGUGUUUACUGAACAUCAUCAUUUCACAUCCCUCACAACAUCAUUGGGGAAAUCAUACAAAGCUGAGAACAGAACACAAUCGCAGAGUUUCUGUGUGGAGGGGCACCAACUAAGGAGAUGCCACAUCACUUCGUCCAUUUGUAGCAGCGAAUAUCUCCUCGCUGUGCGUUCUCCUUUUUUAACACCUUAAUCUACCAGUAGAAACGUCUCCCAGCAUUCCUAGUUGUCUACUGGAGGGAUUCAUCACUAAAUUAAACAAACCAGCUGGGUUCAUAAUCUAAAACUUGCAGGACAGCGGACCGGGGAUGAGAAGCACUGUGUUACUCAAAAAAGUAAAAGGGGACGGGAAUGCCAAACUCUAAAUAUAAACUGGAUAAAUUGCAUUUCUUGUGGUAAUGCUGUUUAAUUGCUGACAGCUCAGCAGAUCCAUUGGUAACGUGUUGUGAUUUUAGUGUUGGGGGCGAACUGGAGCUCCCAGAGAAAACCCCCAUGCAGCACAAGGAGACAGAAAUAAUCUGUUUCCUGUGAAAACUUGUGCUGCAAUAUUUUUUAUUUUGUUUAGGUUUUUUUGUACUCCGUGGUUCAAGGAGGCACUUCCUUGACGCAAUCAACUACUCGGCUCUCUUCACGUAAUACUAACUAGACCAUUCGGCCGAGCCGCUCCUUUUGAUGUAUAAUUAGUGGGGGUGCCCUCUGCCCUUCGAGCCACAUUAACAUCCGGAAGGAGAAUAAAGAAGGGCUAAAAAUCCUCCGGUGAAUAGCAAUUAUAAAGAGCUCAAAUCUUCUAGUGCAGAACAAUAAGUGGCUUUCAGGGUCAGGGCCUUGAAUAAAGAGGAACAGGGAAAGAAUGUUUACAGCGUUCAAAUACUGAGUGAAAUUCUGUAGUGUUAUGGAUUAGGAAGGAUCAGGUUGGUCCCACUAGACCUGAGUAUAACUAAUAGCAGACCUUUUAUCAGCGCUAACUUGUAUUAAAGGGAUACUAGGCAGUUAUGCUUGCUUUUAUCACCCCUAGUGUCCUCUUCUUUUAAACAUCUUAAUCUACCAGUACAAACGUCUCCCAGCGUUCCUAGUAGUCUACAAGAGGGAUUCAUCACUAAAUAAAAAAACCAGCAGAUGAAAACAUUGCAAAUUGUCCCUCAAAAACUCUAAAAACUAAAUUGGAUGUGACUUACCCUAACGGUUUGGGCCUAAAAUAAGAACAAACUUGGGCAAUCCUAUCUGAACGCUUAUUCAGUCACAACGUAAGACCCUGUUUAUGGUAUGGUUGUGAGUGUGGUGUACGGCAUUUCAAACGAGGUUUCUGAGUUGGAGGUGUUUGACUCCGUGUGUGGGGCGAUAGUGGGGGCUGUUCGGCAUCUGGGGUUUAACGCACGUGAUGUCAGGGCUAUGGUCUCAUUUGCUUAGUUUAGGUUCAUCUUACUGAGCAGUUUUGCUUGCUUUUAUCAUCCUCUAGUGUCCAUUUGUAGCAGCGAAUAUCUCCUCGCUGUGCGUUCUCCUUUUUUAACACCUUAAUCUACCAGUAGAAACGUCUCCCAGCAUUCCUAGUUGUCUACUGGAGGGAUUCAUCACUAAAUUAAACAAACCAGCUGGGUUCAUAAUCUAAAACUUGCAGGACAGCGGACCGGGGAUGAGAAGCACUGUGUUACUCAAAAAAGUAAAAGGGGACGGGAAUGCCAAACUCUAAAUAUAAACUGGAUAAAUUGCA